rnacentral:rRNA from 1 species
GAGGAAUAUUGGACAAUGGGUGAGAGCCUGAUCCAGCCAUCCCGCGUGAAGGACGACGGCCCUAUGGGUUGUAAACUUCUUUUGUACAGGGAUAAACCUUUCCACGUGUGGAAAGCUGAAGGUACUGUACGAAUAAGCACCGGCUAACUCCGUGCCAGCAGCCGCGGUAAUACGGAGGGUGCAAGCGUUAUCCGGAUUUAUUGGGUUUAAAGGGUCCGUAGGCGGAUCUGUAAGUCAGUGGUUAAAUAUUUGAGCUAAACUCAAUUGUGCCAUUAAUACUGGUAAACUGGAGUACAGACGAGGUAGGCGGAAUAAGUUAAGUAGCGGUGAAAUGCAUAGAUAUAACUUAGAACUCCGAUAGCGAAGGCAGCUUACCAGACUGUAACUGACGCUGAUGCACGAAAGCGUGGGGAGCGAACA